rnacentral:rRNA from 1 species
CGCGGCCUAUCAGCUUGUUGGUGGGGUAAUGGCCCACCAAGGCGACGACGGGUAGCCGGCCUGAGAGGGCGACCGGCCACACUGGGACUGAGACACGGCCCAGACUCCUACGGGAGGCAGCAGUGGGGAAUAUUGCACAGUGGGCGAAAGCCUGAUGCAGCGACGCCGCGUGAGGGAUGACGGCCUUCGGGUUGUAAACCUCUUUCAGCAGGGAAGAAGCGAAAGUGACGGUACCUGCAGAAGAAGCGCCGGCUAACUACGUGCCAGCAGCCGCGGUAAUACGUAGGGCGCAAGCGUUGUCCGGAAUUAUUGGGCGUAAAGAGCUCGUAGGCGGCUUGUCACGUCGGAUGUGAAAGCCCGAGGCUUAACCUCGGGUCUGCAUUCGAUACGGGCUAGCUAGAGUGUGGUAGGGGAGAUCGGAAUUCCUGGUGUAGCGGUGAAAUGCGCAGAUAUCAGGAGGAACACCGGUGGCGAAGGCGGAUCUCUGGGCCAUUACUGACGCUGAGGAGCGAAAGCGUGGGGAGCGAACAGGAUUAGAUACCCUGGUAGUCCACGCCGUAAACGUUGGGAACUAGGUGUUGGCGACAUUCCACGUCGUCGGUGCCGCAGCUAACGCAUUAAGUUCCCCGCCUGGGGAGUACGG